UGCGAGUCGAGAGUCCUCGGGACUCGGCGUACCGCUCAGUAACACGUGGGUAACCUGCCCUAUGCUGGGGAAUAACCUCGGGAAACUGAGAAUAAUGCCCCAUAGCCCACUACGCCUGGAACGGUGAGUGGGUCAAAGCCCCGGCGGCAUAGGAUGGGCCUGCGCCGUAUCAGGUUGUAGGGGGUGUAAAGUACCCUCUAGCCAUCAACGCGUACGGGUGUUGGGAGACAUUGCCCGGAGAUGGAUUCUGAGACACGGAUCCAGACCCUACGGGGUGCAGCAGGCGCGAAAACUUGGCAAUGCGAGCAAUCGUGACCAGGGAACUCCAAGUGCGUAGGGUAAGACCUACGCUUUUCUUGACUCUUCAAAGGUCUUGGAAUAAGGGGUGGGUAAGGACGGUGCCAGCCGCCGCGGUAAUACCGGCGCCUCAAGUGGUAGUCGCUUUUAUUGGGCCUAAAACGUCCGUAGCCGGUCUGGUGCAUUCGUGGGUAAAUCAACCCGCUCAACGGGUUGAAUUCUGCGAGCACGGCCAGACUUGGGACCGGGAGAGGUGUGGGGUACUCUCAGGGUAGGGGUAAAAUCCUGUCAUCCUGAGAGGACCACCUGUUGCGAAGGCGCCACACUAGAACGGAUCCGACGGUCAGGGACGAAACCUAGGGGCACGAACCGGAUUAGAUACCCGGGUAGUCCUAGGUGUAAACGCUGUGGACUUGAUGUUGGGGGCGCUCCGAGCGCUCUCAGUGUCGAAGCGAAGGUGAUAAGUCCACUGCCUGGGGAGUACGGUCGCAAG
rnacentral:rRNA from 1 species